rnacentral:rRNA from 1 species
GACAGAGGGUGCAAACGUUGUUCGGAAUUACUGGGCGUAAAGCGCGUGUAGGCGGCUUGGCAAGUCGGGUGUGAAAGCCCUGGGCUCAACCUAGGAAGUGCACUCGAAACUGCCUCGCUCGAGUAUCGGAGAGGAAAGCGGAAUUCUCGGUGUAGAGGUGAAAUUCGUAGAUAUCGAGAGGAACACCGGUGGCGAAGGCGGCUUUCUGGACGGUCACUGACGCUGAGGCGCGAAAGCGUGGGGAGCGAACGGG